AUGCCCCUCUCACCUGCAUGUGUAACUGAGGUUGCGUCUGACGCUCCUCUUGAAGAAGCUCUUGCAGCCCUCGCAGGUGAAGACGCCGUAAUGCUUCCCGCUGGACUUGUCCCCGCACACCACGCAGUCCACCACGCAGGCCUUGUCAUCGUCCCCGGCCUCCAUGUCGCUGCCCCCCGCCUGUGGAGAACCGUCCUCCUCCUCCCCCCUCAGGUAGCUCUUGUCUCCCAACCCGUUUGUGCCCCCAUUGGGAUCUCCCCAGCCCCCACUCACCAUGGCCAUCGCUUGGUUAGCGAACCACCGCAGAAGAAAAUGGGACAGGCAGCCAAGAUCUCUGGUUGCUGUCAAGACCAAUUCCUGAGAUGGUGAAAGAGAAGCCUGCUCGGCCGAACGGUGUCACACUUCAGCCGAGGAAGCUUUCACAGGGAACAAUGAGUCGAGCGUACGGUUCUCCUAGAAGAGAGCAGAGGCAGACUGAUUUGUGAGCAAAAUACAUGAAAGAUCUUCCUUCCAUCCAGCGAGGCUGCGGACACAACUCCCCUAUUCUGCUGUAAUCCUCUCAGCGGCAGCAACAGCAGCAUUGUGACCCCCUAGAUCAAGCAAAACAAGUUGAUGUCCCCACAGCAACAACAACAUCACUUUCAUGUGGUCGUGGGCUUCUUCGGGCGCCGCCAGCUGCCGCAGCUGCAGCGGCAGACGAGGCGACGUGGACUGCCUGCGCUUGCCUCCAAAAUGUAGAUAGUCGACACAAGGAAGUGAUCGCUCUUCCCCUGCGUGGUGUAGCACGAGUGCUCUGUUGUGACAAUAUCCUCGGUGGUGCUUCCUUCCAAAAAAAAACAACAAAAACAUCAAGAAAAGCAGGAGCGCGUCCUUCUUGCUCAGCCCUGCAUAGUUCCUGUGGCUGAACUCAUACGGGCUUCUCUGUCCAGCCUUUUGUCAGUGCUUGCCCACGAAGAACUAAUGACUUGCGGCCUAGCCCUGUGUGCUGCUCUCUGUCUCUGUGUGUGUGUGUGUGUGUGUGUGUGAGAGAGAGAAGCCUUUCCCUAUGGCUCAGGCGAACAGGGGUCUGGAAAGAACGAAUGCUCCUCUUCUCUCUCCCUCUCUCAGGCUCUCAGAGUGCACAAAUCAAAUUAUGAUUCAAGAAGAUGACCACAGCCCGAGACUGGCUGGAUUUCUCAGCAUUUGCUCUUUUUUUCCUCGGCCGUCUUUCCUCUUGCCUGUCUGUUUUCCUCUAACCUAUUUGUGUGUGUGCUUUGAGAGAGAGAGAUCAAGCAAAGCAAUGAAGAGAGAGAGAGGGAGGGAGGGAGCCAGAGUGUGUGCAGAGGGGGAGGGGGCUGUGUGUGUGUGUGUGUGUGUGUGUGUGUGUGUGUGUGUGUGUGUGCGCUCCCAGGGAUUUGACACUGCUAUUCAAGCUCUGUGGUUACCAUGGUGCUGGCCACCUUAUAUGGCCAUUGGAGUCAAAGAGCAAAUAGGAGUGGGCUGUGUGGGGCAGCAUGGACACACACACACACACACACACACACACACACACACACACACACACACACACACACACACACAGGAAGGAUGUGGAGGAUCUUUCUCCUCGGAGAAUCAGAGAGCAUGACCCCGAAGCCUCACAAACCACCCCAACAAAGCCAGAUUACCCUGAAGCCCUGUAACAAAUGCAAGCAAGCCGAUCUCCUGCCUACCCUUUUGUCUUCCAGAAAGCAAUCAAAUAUUGCCUCUGAAAGUUUCUACACGAUUUUAAAAAGGCAAGCGAAGCCGCGGCAAGGUAAACUUUACUUCUCAAAGGGACGAUAUAUCUCUCCCACUUGAAUAACACACUUUGAUCUUGUGUAUGUGCGAGCAUCCCGCCUGAGAACAGCUUAUGGUGCUGGAAAUAAAGGUUACCAUUUUGUGGUCAUUGCUCACUUG